UGUUGAAUUGAUAAAAUUUUAAUACCAAAGGAUCUAAAGGAUAUUUAUUUUAUAUAAAAAUAUACAAAAUUUUAACCACAUCAUAUUUUCUUUGAUAAUUGCAGAUAAUUAGUUCAAAAAAUAACUAGCUUAUGGUGGUUCUAACAAUGUCUUAACAAUGUUGGGUUUUCUUGAAUUUAUCUGAUUCCAUUGACAAAUUUGGACAAACUGCACCAUUAUAAAAUUUUUACAGGAUGCUGUAUCUGAUGGCAUCAGUUUAGUUUUUCUUGUUCAACCAAUUUUGCAAAUUUUGAAUAAUGGAAAUGAAUUUUUAAAAGAAAACCCGUUUUUUAAAUAUUUUAAAUCAGAGCAAUAAAUUGAUUGUCAUAAAUCCCACUAUUAAAACUCAAGCGAGCAAUUAUAAUAGUUAUAUUUCAUAAUAUGUUAUGUUAAACCAUUGUUGGGCAAAACAUAUUUUCGAGUAACUGUAUUGUCAAGAGAACUAUAAAAUCUACUCUUUACAAUGAAAUUACCCCAAAGCCUCUAUCACUUCAACAGCUUCAUUGCCACGCAUAAUAAUAAAGUAAAGUUAAGUCGUUGCACCUUGUAUUAUUUAGUUUUCUUAAUAUAAUGUAUCCAAAAAUUGGAUUGUUUAAAAACAAAAUAAUAGGACUGCCUAAUUUCAACUUGACAAAAAAAUAUUUCUCAUAAGAGUUAUUUUAUUUAAGACAAUAUUUAUAACUUGACAAAAUAGUUAUACAAUGGUUUUAGUAUUAAUUGGACAAAUAAAUUAAAGAUUAGAACAUUAAAGAUAUUCAGAAAAAUUUAGAUUACCCAUUGAUGUGCUCUUCGUUAUUUUAUUUUAUUUAUCUUAAUGAUUGCUUCACCUUUGAUUCAGAUAUGCAAAUGCUAUUUCAUUAUUUUUAUUUUUGUCAGCCGUGUAGAGUUUUGAAAAUCCUUCCAAUAAUCAUUUUACAUUGAACUUUAUAUUUAUUAUUUUCAAGAUAUGUGCCAUAUUAAGAUCUCAGUUUGUUAUGUUUCUUGCAUGAUCAUUUAAUUUUUAUUGCAAAAUAUUUACAUAUUCUUAAUACUAUGUAUGUCUUUGUUGUAUAAAAUAUAUCCAUCUACCUCCUAAUUGCUUAAUUUUUUUCCAUUUCGAGGAUAUCUAAUCCACAGGACUUCGAUUUAAUGUUCUGUUGCAGUAAUUCUUUGUACCUCACUCGGUGGAUCUCAUUUCCUUUAAUGGAAGGAUCCUUUAUUGUGCAUAUCUCACUUCACAUCAAGGUCUGAGACCUCGUCAAUCACUGUCUCAUUGCUCAAGAAUACAUAAAUUCCUCCAUUCAGAACUAAGGAGUUCCAUAAAAAUAUAGAAUAAUCUAAUAGAACAACAAGUAAGAAACAUAGAGAGUCCUUUUCCUAUGUACACAGCUCAUUCAUUGAAACUCUUUAGUCCAAAUCCAAAUGAAGUCGUCAAUAAUUUUCUUAAGCUAACCUUCUGAUAUCCUUUAUGAAAAAUGUAUUCGUACAUUCUGGUGUCAAGAAACUAAAAAUUCCAAUACCUAUCUGCACCAAUCACUACCUGUUAAGGAAUUCGAUUAAAAUCAGUGAAUUAUUAUGGUAAACAACUCAAAAAAGUAAAGGAAUUCAUUAACUCAGGCACAAAGAAUCACUGCAACAGAACAUUAAAUCAAAGAGAGGAUCAGAAGUCCUUUGGAUUGUAUAUCCUCCAAACGGCGACAAUUUAAAUAACUAGGAAAGGGAAGGAUGGCUGGAUACAGAUCGAUAAAUCAGAAUGUCUUGUGGUUAAGAUCCAUCCAAAUCAUCAUGGAUUACUUAAUACUUUCCAAAUAGUACAACAUAAAUAUUUGAAUAUUAAGUAGUAAAAUAUCAAUAGCUAUUCUAAAUAGUAAGCUGUUGUAUGACGUAUUCGUAUUCGAACUGAGAUCAUUCGAUUUACUGAUAAACAAAACAUAUGUUAAGAUGAUUUCCACUUUUAUCAUAUUUUCAUACGUAAAGUUAGUAUGGGAAGGGUUAUUCUAAUAUUUAUGUCUCUGAGACUCAUCAGUACGGGUAAAAACAACCAAAAAUAACACAAUAAUUAAAUUUAUCGCCUGAAAUUAAUAAUUAAAGUUGAUGGCUUUGAGUGUUAUCAUCGUGAUGAAUCUAAUCCAGACUUAACACAUAUUGGCUAUUCCAUUCAAUGUGAUGCAGGUAUUCAUUCAUGCAUGAAAUCUACAAGAGAAAUCGUAAGUAUGGAAGGGUUCUGAAUAAUCUGGAUUUGAUGAAGUUCCAGAAAUUUACAUGUACUUAUUCAUAAAUUAACAUGUCCGCCCAUAUUCCCAAGUUGUUCCUUUCCACAAGGAGUCCUUUUAGAAUCGGAAUUUAAAUGAAGAUUGACAUCGGAGUAAUUCUAGUCUAUGUGUCCUGGAUAUAACCAUACAUAGUGAGAUAUUUAUUUAUUUUGUUUCCCUCAGGCUACUUGCAGCCAAUCUAAUAAAACGUAAUGAUGACAACUAAGCCGCUCUUUUCCCAAACAUUUCUCAAAUUGACAGGAUGACCAGGACAACGGAGAAGUAAAGAAGCUUUUCAAAAGACAAUGUGGUGAAAAGUUUGUUGUAUCGUAUUAUAGGUGUAUUGAAUCUAAAUAUUGGGAUGAUCCUGAUAAAGGUUCAGUUAUGGAUUGUAUUUGUAAUGAAAAUUCUGUAAUAAAGUGAUCCCAUUUAGAAGUAUUAAAAUGAUCUACUCAUCGCUAACGGAUUGCCUUAUUGUUUCGAUCCUGGUAACUCAUUCACAAGGAAGGAGUUCACUCUACUCCCUUAUAAGGACUGGUAGUUUUCCUCGGAUGAAGUCUCCUCCCGUCGUCCUUCGUGGAAUUCGAAAUCGGAAUUGGAACAAUUCUUGAGAUAGAUUAUCAAGUUGGAAGUAUCUUCCUUUGAUUCCCUCGAUCUUCCUUUUAAAAGGCAUGACAUAAUGAAAUUGCAAUUGAAAUCGAAAAAAAUGAUAAUAAUGUUGACUAUUUGCUAGUACACCCCAUAAAAUUAUAGGAUCACCACAAAAUGGAGUCACUAAUCCUUGUAGAUACACAUUUUUUAACUAGCCCAAUACGAAAAAUAUAUUAUAGGUAUGCUAAAAAUGAUUUUUCUUUACAAAUCAUUUUAUAAUUGCCUUGAUAUGUAUAAAUUCAAUUUUUUU
rnacentral:lncRNA from 1 species